UACGUAGGGGGCAAGCGUUGUCCGGAAUCAUUGGGCGUAAAGAGCGUGUAGGCGGCUCGAUAAGUCCGCUGUGAAAGUCCAGGGCUCAACCCUGGAAGGCCGGUGGAAACUGUCGGGCUAGAGUCCGGAAGAGGCGAGUGGAAUUCCCGGUGUAGCGGUCAAAUGCGCAGAUAUCGGGAGGAACACCAAUGGCGAAGGCAGCUCGCUGGGACGGUACUGACGCUGAGACGCGAAAGCGUGGGGAGCAAACAGG
rnacentral:rRNA from 1 species